rnacentral:lncRNA from 1 species
CUCUAUUGCGUGCUAUUAACCGUCCUAUUCCUAUCAGUCCCGGAGGAAUAUUAGGACUACUACUCCUAUAAGAGGAAGGAUUUUAGGCUGACUCACAGGUUAAAGGCAAAAAGGCUAAGGUGACAUACAAAAACACGUAGGACUGCAUUUAAAUGGGAAACAUGUAAAAAAUUAGAAGGAUCAUAUAAACCUCCGCAAACGAUGCAUAUAAAUAGCACGACUCAAACACAGUUGAACUCUGAAUAAUUAAAAAUCCUAAAGCAUGGGAGUUGAGUAAGAAUCAGAUUCAUUAUAUAGCUCAGAUAAGAAGUCCAAAUCAGACAUGCAUGUUGGUUAUAGCAAUUGAUAAUUAACGAAGGCAGUUUCAUUUUUAUUCAAGAAGUUACCUAAGGUUUGCGUAGGCGUAUCAUUGAUGUCCUAUGAGCAUGAUAUUUAUAGUGAUGUAAUAAAGCAAUGAUCAACUUUAAACAGGCGAUUUUGAUCCUACAAACAUGCUUUCUAACGGUAUUAAGUCGAGGCAGUGUUUGAGAGACUUAUUAAAGAAACGGAAGAUUACUUAAUUAAUCCAAUUCAGGAAAACAACAGGAACUAGAUGGCUUCUCCAACUAAAUUGUUUAGGAAUGAUUUCUAUUAUAGCUAUUUAGAUCCAAUAGGCAUGGUAUCUAAGUGUGUGAAAGCUGACUCUACACAUAUAGGCAUGAUUUCGGAGGGAAACGACUUUGGAUACAUGCUGUAACGAAAAUUAAGCUUCAAUUACUUUAUAUCCUAUAGGCAUGAUAUCUAAUUAUAAAGCUGAUUUUGACCCUGUAGACAUUUUAUCUGUUAUUAAAGCUGUUUAUGUCCUUUAGACAUUAUUUCUAGUUAUGUGAAAGUGAAGCAUGCACAAUUUAUUUUAAACAAGCAUUGAUCCUAUAUGCAUGUUUUCUAGUUAUGAAAGUGAAACAUGCAGAAUUUAUUUUAAACAAGCACUGAUCCUAUAGGCAUGGUUUCUAGUUAUGAAAGUGGAGCAUGCAACAUUUAUUUUAAACAAGCACUCAUUCUAUAGGCAUGGUUUCUAGUUAUGUAAGUGAAGCAUGCAACAUUUAUUUUAAACAAGCACUGAUCCUAAAGGCAUGUUAUCUAAUAGACCACACUUAAAGCAAAUAGACUCUAUAGGCAUGUUAUCUACCCAAUCUACCUACAAUGUAAAACUACCCACCCAUUUCGCUAAUCUCCCAAAUAUUAUUUACAAAUUAUUACAGUCCCAAUGACUGAAUUACAAAAGAAUUGCAGAAAUAGGAAAUUACAACCAAAAGAAGCCUGAUCUUUACUUUCUAUCUGAAUUAUAUAAUUAAUCAGCUCAAUGUCAAUGUUUCAAAGCCUUUUCUCAUACUUGAGUGUGUCAAAGUUCUCUAAGGAUAUCAGGGUAUCCUGGGCAGUGCUCAUACUCAGGAUUACAUAACCAUGAGUGUCGUGUGGAAGGACCGGCCCUUAUGUGUCCAAGAUCAAAGGGAACUCAAGGGUCCCAAGGCAAGGCUCACACAAGAAGGGCAGAACCUAGGUCCUAAGAGUAUAGUGGAAGUUCAUAACAGAGAUAUAUUAAAACUGGGUUGGGAAUAGUAAGUGGUAAAGGGUGAUUUGAAAACAGUUGUAAUAGUGAAACUCAAACAACACAGAAUUAUAACCCCAGCAAGGGUCCGGUUUGGUCAUGCAUAACAAUAGCUGAUGCUGGUAUAGACACAAACCAUCCAAAGGAACAAAAACACAUAAAGGGGAUAUGGGGAUUUGGGAUUCAUAGAGUAGCAAGUAUGACUGAUAGCCUGUUUGGACAGGCUUAUUUUGACCAUAAGUGAUUUUUUUUGGCCAAAAGUACUUUUGGCUAAACAUUUAGGUGUUUGGCCAAGCUUUUGGAAGGAAAAAAAGUUCUUUUAAGGAGAAACAGAAGUAGUUUUGGAGAAGCAGAAAAAAGUAGCUUCUCUCCGGAAGCACUUUUUUUAGAAACACUUUUGAGAAAAAUACACUUGGAAGCAGUUUUUAAAGCUUGGCCAAACACUAAUUGCUGCUCAGAAGUGCUUUUCAAACUAAUUAUCCAAACACAAACUACUUCUCACCAAAAGUAUUUUUGAGAAAAGCACUUUUGAAAAAAAAAACUUCUCAAAAUAAGCUGAUUUUUUAAGCUUGGCCAAACGGGCUAUGCCAGAGUACACAUAUUGGUAAGCAUUAAUUUAAAAGGAGAAGGGAACCUAUUACAGCAUGCAAGUAACAUAACUUGACUGUAGAAUCAUGAGUAGAAGUAAACAAGAAAUGAGAAACUGAAGCAAUUAAAGAAAGCAUGUUAUUGUUGGGACUUGAAAAAUUAAGUAGGACAUACCAGUAGAGAUGCAAAGUGCAGAAAGGUAAAGCAAACAAGAUUCCAAAGUCUAGCUUUGGCUUUCAGCCGGCUAGACAAAGCAAUAGCAUAAGUAACAAUAAAGAAAGAGAGAGUUUUGAGUGUAAGUGUGUUCUGAACUCAAGUUUUUCGUGUGUAUAAAAGAAAAGAGGGCAUGGUAUUUACAGUUUUGAAAAUGGUUGAGAAUAAAGUAAUAAGUAAAGUCAUAACACAAACAUGAAAAUAAUCACAAUCAGAAUCAAUUAACAGAAGUGAUUCCAUUUAAUUAAGGAAUCACUGCUUAAUGGAUACUAACAGGUUUUAAUUAAGGAAAGAAAUCAGUUUAAGACAGAUUCAUUAUUGCCAUAUAAGGUGGCAGUAAAAGCAUAGAGUAAAUAAUCAAGUCUAAGUACAAAAUAUGCUUAAUUUUGGGAAAGGAUUCAGCAAGGUAAAACACCACAGUAAUUAAAGGAGGGGAAUCAAUUAGUUUAAAUAAACGAAUACAAUUAGGGUUCAUAAGAAAACCUUUUUACAAUCAGUCGUAACAUUGAGGGAUUUUGGAUCAAUCAAGAAAGGGUCAAGAUUCUGCACCUCAACAUAUAAAUAUCAAGGAAUGAACAUGUAUGCAGAGUCAAACAUGUUGACAAAAGGAAGAAACACAAACAUAUAGUAGCAAUAGGGGAAGCUAGGAUUCAGAAGUAAAAGAAAACUAUUCAAAGCACAGUAGUCAAGCAAUCACAUAGAACCAAAGUGUAGAGAACCAAACUGACAGGUAAGAAAAAUCAGAAACAAGUAAAGGUCUCAUAAUAGUAAUAAGUGUGGAAAACCCCUUAAAAGAAAUUAGGGCCUCAAUUGUAGUCGAUUUUAAGAGAUGAUAAGAACUCAAAUAAAAAAAACGGAGAGAGAUAGAGAGUCAGACACAAAGAACAAGUACACAUUUAAACAAAGAGUUUCAGAACUUGGAUAAGCCCAAAAAGGAACUAGGGUUUUUAACAUGCUGAAUCAAGUAGAAGAAAAACAUAAACAAGUUGUUUGAGCAUAGUAAAAUCAUGAAACAACACCAAAAAUCAGAGAAGAUAUCUUUAUAAGAGGUUAAGAUAAACCUUAAUCGUUGAAAUAUGAAGAGCAUUUUGAAAGAAAAGUCAAAAAACCUUGGAGAAACACUUAAAAAGCUUGUAAAAAGCACAGAUCUGAAAGAAAAUCGAACACCUCUUACAACUAGGGUUUCAAAGAACCUAGAGAAAGUGAGAAAGGCUUCAAAAAAUACUGAUCUAGUCGGAAACGUCAAGGAUCUAACUUGAACAACCAUGGAUGGCCGGAAAAAGACUAGAGAUCAAAGUCGAUCAAGGACUGGACCGGACCUCUUCGAGAUUUGUCCAUGAAAUCACAAAAACAAACACCCAGGAGCCAUAGGAGAUUGAUACACAUCUCACAUGGCCAUGAGAGCCAUGGAUUAGGCAGGGAUUGAGGUGGAUUAGGAGUGGAAUUAGAUGGCGGCGGGUAGGGUUCAUGUAAGGUUGCAGAGAGAAUUAAUAGGGAAAGGAUUCAGAGGCAGCGGGUGGUGGA